rnacentral:rRNA from 1 species
GACGAACGCUGGCGGCGUGCCUAACACAUGCAAGUUGAGCGACUAACCAUUGCUUGCCCUGGGGCAAAGCAGCGAACGGGUGAGUAACACGUGGGUAACCUACCCCGCUAACCUGGACAACCCUACGAAACUCGGUCUAAUACCGGAUGUGCUCCCUUGACUUCGUUUCAGUUCGUAAAGGCAGCUUCUGCCUCCGUAUCGUUAGGUGCCCUCGGCCCAUUAGUUUGUUGGUGAGGUAACGGCUCACCAAGACCGCGAUGGGUAGCUGGUCUGAGAGGCCGAUCAGCAACAGGAGGAAUGAGACACGGCCCAGAAUCCUAAGGGAGGCAGCAGUGGGGAAUCUUGCGCAAGGAGCGAAAGCGGGAAGCAGGAACGCCGCGUGGGGGAAGAAGGCCUUCGGGUUGUAAACCACGUUGAGGAGGGAAGAAGGUUCGGCGGUGAAUAGCCGGCCGGAAUGACGGUACCUAAACAAGAAGCCCCGGCUAACUACGUG